AGAGUUUGAUCAUGGCUCAGGAUGAACGCUGGCGGCGUGCUUAACACAUGCAAGUCGAACGGAAAGGCCCUGCUUGCAGGGUACUCGAGUGGCGAACGGGUGAGUAACACGUGGGUGAUCUGCCCUGUACUUCGGGAUAAGCUUGGGAAACUGGGUCUAAUACCGGAUAUUCAACUUUUGUUGGAAAGCCUUUGGGCGGUAUGGGAUGAGCUUGCGGCCUAUCAGCUUGUUGGUGGGGUAAUGGCCUACCAAGGCGUCGACGGGUAGCCGGCCUGAGAGGGUGUACGGCCACAUUGGGACUGAGAUACGGCCCAGACUCCUACGGGAGGCAGCAGUGGGGAAUAUUGCACAAUGGGCGGAAGCCUGAUGCAGCGACGCCGCGUGGGGGAUGACGGCCUUCGGGUUGUAAACUCCUUUCGCUAGGGACGAAGCUUUUGUGACGGUACCUAGAUAAGAAGCACCGGCUAACUACGUGCCAGCAGCCGCGGUAAUACGUAGGGUGCGAGCGUUGUCCGGAAUUACUGGGCGUAAAGAGCUCGUAGGUGGUUUGUCGCGUCGUCUGUGAAAUUCCGGGGCUUAACUCCGGGCGUGCAGGCGAUACGGGCAUAACUUGAGUACUGUAGGGGAGACUGGAAUUCCUGGUGUAGCGGUGAAAUGCGCAGAUAUCAGGAGGAACACCGGUGGCGAAGGCGGGUCUCUGGGCAGUAACUGACGCUGAGGAGCGAAAGCAUGGGUAGCGAACAGGAUUAGAUACCCUGGUAGUCCAUGCCGUAAACGGUGGGCGCUAGGUGUAGGGGUCUUCCACGACUUCUGUGCCGUAGCUAACGCAUUAAGCGCCCCGCCUGG
rnacentral:rRNA from 1 species